GAUGAAGAACGUAGCGAAAUGCGAUACGUAAUGUGAAUUGCAGAAUUCAGUGAAUCAUCGAGUCUUUGAACGCACAUUGCGCCCUCUGGUAUUCCGGAGGGCAUGCCUGUCCGAGCGUCAUUGUUGCCCUCAAGCACGGCUUGUGUGUUGGGCCCCGCCCCCCGAUCCCGGGGGGCGGGCCCGAAAGGCAGCGGCGGCACCGCGUCCGGUCCUCGAGCGUAUGGGGCUUUGUCACCCGCUCUGUAGGCCCGGCCGGCGCCUGCCGAUCAACCAAACUUUUUUCCAGGUUGACCUCGGAUCAGGUAGGGAUACCCGCUGAACUUAAGCAUAUCAAUAAGCGGAGGA
rnacentral:misc_RNA from 1 species